GGGCCCGCACAAGCGGUGGAGCAUGUGGUUUAAUUCGAUGCAACGCGAAGAACCUUACCUACUCUUGACAUCCAGAGAAGCCAGCGGAGACGCAGGUGUGCCUUCGGGAGCUCUGAGACAGGUGCUGCAUGGCUGUCGUCAGCUCGUGUUGUGAAAUGUUGGGUUAAGUCCCGCAACGAGCGCAACCCUUAUCCUUGUUUGCCAGCACGUAAUGGUGGGAACUCCAGGGAGACUGCCGGUGAUAAACCGGAGGAAGGUGGGGACGACGUCAAGUCAUCAUGGCCCUUACGAGUAGGGCUACACACGUGCUACAAUGGCGCAUACAGAGGGCAGCAAGCUAGCGAUAGUAAGCGAAUCCCAAAAAGUGCGUCGUAGUCCGGAUUGGAGUCUGCAACUCGACUCCAUGAAGUCGGAAUCGCUAGUAAUCG
rnacentral:rRNA from 1 species